AUGAUAUAUACGUGCACUCCUCUUAAUUCACAUCUCCAAUAUCACACUCUUUGGAUCUGUCUCUAAAGAUCAGUAUCCGGGGCAGAUUGCAGAGUGGAGUACUCAUGGAUCAUACACCCUGUGAUUUUGUGAUUGAUCUUGAGAUGUGCAACAACACCAUUGAAGAAGCAGCAACUACUAAUCCUAUUUCCAUUGAUAAAAUAGGCAAGAGAUUUUUCAACAAUUUCUGUGAUGACGAACAACUUGUUAGACCUGAAAAUGGGUUCUGUAUGAUUAGCAAUGUAAAGGAUGACCAUGAGCUCACUCCCGAGAAUGUGAAGGCCAAGGGAUUAGUGGCUGAAAAUGGCGUAGAGAAGAAAAAUGUGAAUGAUAAGCGUAAAUCCGGUAGUGCUAAAAAGCCUCCUAGACCUCCAAGAGGAUUAUCUUUGGAUGCUGCUGAUCAGAAGCUUAUUAAAGAGAUCGCUGAACUCGCAAUGAUCAAACGUGUACGGAUUGAGAGAAUCAAGGCUUUGAAGAAAAUGAAAGCAGCAAAAGCAUCUUCAAAUUCUUCAUCAUCAUCAUCCACGAGCAGUGUCCUUGCCUUUCUCUUCACUGUCCUCUUCUUUCUCGUGCUGUGUUUUCAAGGGAUGUCCUCUGGAAGUUCAGCUGUGAUUUCUCAUGAUUCCCCUGAACCGAGUGGAUCAAGAUCGAAUAGCUUUAUUAUUCAACAAUACUAUGAUCUAUCCGCCAGAACUGCUGCUAAAAGUGCCGGGUCACCCAAUUUAGUUGUGCAGGUUUCUGGAUCAGAUCCCCUAGGGACAGCCCGAAAAGUGCUGCGACUUGAAGUGUAG